rnacentral:rRNA from 1 species
AUGGGACGGAGCACACGUAACCCUAUAUGGUGUCAGAUAUGGAAGUUAUCUUGUCCGACUAAAGUCAAAAUAUUUUUACGGCGGACACUACAUGGUACUCUUCCAUGUCGGGCAACACUCACUAAUAGACACAUGAAGAUCUCACCCUUGUGUCAUACAUGCUCCCAGGGUGUAGAAGAUACAAAGCACUUGCUUUUCCUAUGUAGAAAAGCCAAAGAGGUUUGGAAAAGGCUAGGGUUGGAUAUGAUUAUUGAGAGAGCUUGUGAGAUUGAUCGUGCUGGGGAGGCAAUACUGGAAUACUUAUUACUCCUUCCAGAUCAAGAUCUGCGCAUUAUGGGGUACGAAAAUGUUCGAGAAAUGGUAGCUAUCUCUGCUUGGUAUCUAUGGUGGGAAAGAAGGAAAUUAGUGCAUAAGGAAUUCACUCAAAAUGCGACCCGGAUCUCAAUGGGGAUCAUAGCUCUUACAUAUAAUUUUGUAAAUGCUUCAUCUUCAAAUGCGUCCAUAAAAAGGGGGGUUGGCAAUGUCCUCCUAGGGGCUUUGUGA